UACGAAGGGGGCGAGCGUUGUUCGGAAUUACUGGGCGUAAAGGGCGCGCAGGCGGCGCACCAAGUCAGGCGUGAAAGCCCCGGGCUCAACCUGGGAAUUGCGCUUGAUACUGGGGUGCUGGAGUUCGGGAGAGGAGAGUGGAAUUCCCAGUGUAGAGGUGAAAUUCGUAGAUAUUGGGAAGAACACCGGUGGCGAAGGCGGCUCUCUGGACCGAGACUGACGCUGAGGCGCGAAAGCGUGGGGAGCAAACAGG
rnacentral:rRNA from 1 species